AACGAACGCUGGCGGCAUGGAUUAGGCAUGCAAGUCGAACGCAUAUAGCAAUAUAUGAGUGGCGAAAGGGUGAGGAACACGUGAGUAACCUGCCCUCAAGUUGGGAAUAACACCGGGAAACUGGUGCUAAUACCGAAUGUGGCUGAUGAACCGCAUGGUUUAUCAUCUAAAGAUUUUAUCGCUUGAGGAGGGGCUCGCGUCCCAUUAGCUAGUUGGUGAGGUAACGGCCCACCAAGGCGACGAUGGGUAGCUGGUCUGAGAGGAUGGCCAGCCACACUGGGACUGAGACACUGCCCAGACUCCUACGGGAGGCUGCAGUCGAGAAUCUUGGGCAAUGCGCGAAAGCGUGACCCAGCAAUGCCGCGUGCAGGAUGAAGGCCUUCGGGUUGUAAACUGCUGUCAACAGGGACGAAGGAUUGACGGUACCUGUAGAGGAAGCCACGGCUAACUACGUGCCAGCCGCCGCGGUAA
rnacentral:rRNA from 1 species